AAGUGCUGUGUUUGUUUGUCCAACCCCCCACCCCCCCAACCUGCCUCUUUACAGGGACUAUGGCGCUCUUAUACUUUUCUUUGCUCCUGUAAGAACU